rnacentral:misc_RNA from 1 species
CUUGUUUUCUUCAUCUCUUCUGAGUCUAACGCAACGCCAAAUUUGAUGUAAUGUGAUAGUGAUAAACCAAAAGUAGACCCAUUCUCCCAAUCUGGGUAGGAUCCUAGAUUCGGGUUAAUGGGUUGCGUUAGCUCCAAACGGACAUUGUCGGUGGCCGCUGCCUCCCCAGUUUUAGACUAUUCCUAUGCACCAACUUCGUUGCCUGUUAACGACCAUGGCUCGGUGAGGUCUUCAAGAUAUCCAUCUGGGUAUUUAAAUUUUGAUCAGAAACACAUAAAGGAUAAGAAAGAUGGAAGCAGACGCAAAAAGAGUAGUUAUGACAUUGAUAACAGUAAUGAGGAGGAGGCAAAGGAAGAUCAAGAUGGUAGUCAGCAAGGCAAAAAAAAUCAAGAGAAGGAGCUCUAGCGGAAAUAGUGGACCCAUUAAUCUCAAAAUGGGAUUCUCCCAGAGGCACGUUGGAGCUGAGCAGAUCGCUGCCGGGUGGCCCAACUGGCUUAGUUCUGCAGCUGCAGAAGCGAUUCAUGGUUGGGUCCCUCUACGAGCUGAUGCUUUUGAGAAAUUAGAGAAGAUUGGACAAGGCACAUAUAGCAGCGUGUUCCGAGCACGUGAGGUUGAGACUGGAAAGAUGUUUGCACUGAAGAAGGUGCGCUUUGACAAUUUUCACCAAGAGAGCAUUAGGUUUAUGGCGCGCGAAAUACUGAUUCUCCGAAGGCUUGACCAUCCAAAUGUCAUAAAGUUGGAGGGAAUAAUUACUUCCCGAUUGUCAAGUAGCAUAUACCUUGUAUUUGAAUACAUGGAACAUGAUCUUGCUGGACUAUCAUCUUCUCCAGACAUCAAGUUCAGUGAGUCACAGGUGAAGUGCUACAUGAAGCAACUAUUAGAAGGGAUCGAGCACUGCCAUUUGCGAGGUAUAAUGCAUCGGGAUAUUAAGGUGUCCAACAUUUUGGUCAACAAUGAAGGAAUUCUAAAAUUGGCAGAUUUCGGAUUGGCAAAUGUUCUUAACUUGAAGAACCAGAAUCAGCUAACCAGUCGUGUGGUGACUUUAUGGUACCGCCCUCCUGAACUCUUGAUGGGCUCAACCAGUUAUGGUGUGUCAGUGGAUCUCUGGAGUGUGGGCUGUGUAUUUGCAGAACUUCUCAUUGGAAAGCCUCUCCUCAAGGGGAGAACUGAGGUUGAACAAUUACACAAAAUCUUCAAGCUUUGUGGUUCUCCUUCUGACGAGUACUGGAAACAGUCUAAGCUUCCUAAUGCUGCCAUGUUUAAGCCCCAUCAUCAUUAUGAAAGUUCGCUUCGAGAGAGAUUUAAAGAUUUUCCAACAACUGCUGUGGACUUGAUAGAAACUUUUCUUUCCAUAGAACCGGAAAAGCGUGGGACUGCCUCUGCUGCCCUUUUGUCUCAGUACUUCAACACAAUGCCAUAUGCUUGUGACCCGUCAAGCUUGCCAAAGUAUACACCUAACAAAGAAAUGGAUGCUAAAUAUCGAGAAGAAGCACGGAGGAAAAUGGCUGGCUGUAGAACAAGGGAUCCAAGAGAACCAAGAAAACCAAGAAAAGCCAAUAGAAAAUUGCAAAAUCGCAACACUAACAAUAAACUUGGACCAAAAGAGGAAGUGAAAGAGAAUACUCCAUUUGUUCCAAAGAGCAAUGAAGGUAAUGCUCAAAUGAACAAGAGCAGAGGAGGUGUGAGCAGAGAACUAAGUUCUUCAUUUGACACAAACCCGGAGACUUCCGAAGGAACAAAAGGGGACUACGUUUUCUCAGGACCGGCACCAGUCAUAGCAUCAGGUGGCUUUGCAUGGGCAAAAAGGCAGAAGGACGAUGUGUGUAUAAGAUCCCACAAUGGGUCUAUUUCAAGAGGUCACAUUAACAAUGGAUUGGAACACUCUACUGCAUUGCAAGAAAAGAAGAGUUUUGAUUCAAGACAACAUGACAAUGGAGAUGUCACAUAUGGGAUCCGUUCCAAUUCUAGGGGCCAUGAUUCAUAUGAAAUUUCCAAGCAUGCUUUGCAGAAACAGUGGAGUCAACUUGAAAGGCCAGAUUCCUUUGACGCUUCUGAUGGGUACCAUUCACAAGAACUUUCAUUGGCACUUUAUCAAAGAGAGGAAAUGGAAGCAAAGAGAAAUAAUUUGGGUUUUCAAGAUCAAGGAGACAAGGUUGAAUUGUCUGGACCCUUGCUAACCCAAUCACAUAGAGUGGAUGAACUCCUAGAAAGACAUGAACGCCAUAUCCGCCAAGCUGUUCGAAAGUCAUGGUUUCAAAGAGGGUUAUCAUCUAGAGUCCAGUUCAGAGUUGAACAUCCAAAAGGAACUUCUUCAACUCAGCUUUACUAUAGUAAGCGCAGGAUCAAGCUUACAAGUAUGCCUUCCUAUACAGAAACUUGAAAAAAGACCUUUCUAGUCGUUUUCUGAUUUUGCAUUUGCUGCUGCUUUGGUGCUUUAAAGUGAAAAACUCGGUAGUGCUCUUUUGCUUGCUGGCUGUACUUCAACUAAAGCCAUUAGAUAAUACAAAAAUGAUUACAUUAUCAACCACAAACAAUCUGGGUCCAGCCCAAACUCCACCUGCUCACCUAAAUUGUAAGCUCGUUCUCGAUUUUGGGCUUUGAUGAAACCUUUGGAUCAGCAUGUAAUUACAAAGUUUUAGCCAAAAUUGGAUUUUUGGGCUGGGAACUGUAUUAUAAGGGUGAAGCUUGCAACUUGCAAGGCAAAAUGGGGAAAUUCUAAGAAUAAUAAUCCCAUAACAAAUGUUGUUUCAGUUGUUUGAGAUAGAUAAGGACCUCUACCUAAACCUUAUCUUAGGCUAAAUAUCUAGUAAUUUAACCAUGAGGAGUGUCACAUAAACAAACGAGUUUUUUCAUGAGUCUUGUGUCGUCUCAAGGAAGAAUUAUUGUCGUAAAUUGUUGUUGAAGAUAUGCAAUUAGGAUGAAGGUUCCCAUAAUGUACAAAGAAGUUGAGUCCAAGUUUCAAUAUCAAUCAACAUCUGGUACUGCCUAGCAAGUAGCAACCAUCCAUCACACCUUUAAAGAGAGGGACAGUCCAUGGGAUCCCCGAAUAGGGCCAACCAUUUGAGGGGGAGGGGGAGGGUAAGGGCGAUGGUGGCUUUUGUUAUUCACCAUUUGGAAGGACUCCAUCAUUGUUAUGAUAAAGUGGAAAGGGACCAUUUUGGUUCACCUCCUCUGAAAUAAAUGGAUGUGUUUUCG